rnacentral:rRNA from 1 species
AUACGUAGGGAGCGAGCGUUGUCCGGAAUUACUGGGCGUAAAGGGCGCGUAGGCGGCGCUUCAAGUCGUCUGUCAAAUGGGAGGGCUUAACCCUUUUUCGCAGACGAAACUGGAGAGCUUGAGAAGCAGAGAGGCAAACAGAAUUCCUGGUGUAGCGGUGAAAUGCGUAGAUAUCAGGAAGAAUACCAGUGGCGAAGGCGGUUUGCUGGCUGCAUACUGACGCUGAAGCGCGAAAGCCAGGGGAGCAAACGGGAUUAUAUACCCCGGUAGUCCUGGCAGUAAACGAUGUAUGCUGGGUGUGAGACUAGCGAUAGUUUCGUGCCGAAGUUAACGCGAUAAGCAUACCGCCUGGGGAGUACGGUCGCAAGAUUGAAACUCAAAUGAAUUGACGGGG